rnacentral:rRNA from 1 species
UACGGGGGGAGCAAGCGUUGUCCGGAAUUAUUGGGCGUAAAGAGCUCGUAGGCGGUUUGUCGCGUCGGCCGUGAAAUCUCCACGCUUAACGUGGAGCGUGCGGUCGAUACGGGCAGACUUGAGUUCGGCAGGGGAGACUGGAAUUCCUGGUGUAGCGGUGAAAUGCGCAGAUAUCAGGAGGAACACCGGUGGCGAAGGCGGGUCUCUGGGCAAUAACUGACGCUGAGGAGCGAAAGCGUGGGGAGCGAACAGG